GAUGAACGCUAGCGGCAGGCUUAAUACAUGCAAGUCGAGGGGUAGCAAGAUUGUAGCAAUACAAUUGUUGACGACCGGCAAACGGGUGUGGAACACGUACACAAUCUUCCUACAAGUGGGGAAUAGCCCAGAGAAAUUUGGAUUAAUACCCCGUAACAUAGCGAUGUGGCAUCACAUUGCUAUUAUAGCUUCGGCGCUUGUUGAUGGGUGUGCGGCUGAUUAGAUAGUUGGCGGGGUAACGGCCCACCAAGUCUACGAUCAGUAGCUGAUGUGAGAGCAUGAUCAGCCACACGGGAACUGAGACACGGGCCCGACUCCUACGGGAGGAAGCAGUAAGGAAUAUUGGACAAUGGACGCAAGUCUGAUCCAGCCAUGCCGCGUGAAGGAUUAAGGUCCUCUGGAUUGUAAACUUCUUUUAUAAGGGACGAAAAAAGGUCUUUCUAGAUCGUCUGACGGUACCUUAUGAAUAAGCACCGGCUAACUCCGUGCCAGCCGCCGCCGUAACAC
rnacentral:rRNA from 1 species